rnacentral:rRNA from 1 species
CCUACGGGAGGCAGCAGUGGGGAAUAUUGGGCAAUGGGCGCAAGCCUGACCCAGCAACGCCGCGUGAAGGAAGAAGGCUCUCGGGUUGUAAACUUCUUUUAUCAGGGACGAAGCAAGUGACGGUACCUGAUGAAUAAGCCACGGCUAACUGCGUGCCAGCAGCCGCGGUAAUACGUAGGUGGCAAGCGUUAUUCGGAUUGACUGGGUGGAAAGGGCGUGUAGGCGGGAAAGCAAGUCAGAUGUGAAAACCAUGGGCUCAACCGGUGGACUGCAUUUGAAACUGUUUUUCGUGAGUACUGGAGAGGCAGACGGAAUUCCUAGUGUAGCGGUGAAAUGCGUAGAUAGUAGGAGGAACACCAGUGGCGAAGGCGGUCUGCUGGA